AUCUUAUCCAAGAUUAAUUAUUCCGUAUUUACUAUCUUUAUACCUCUCCAUUAUAAUUUCGGAAUUAUACCAUAAUUAUCUCCUAACCAAAUAUGAGAUAAACUUCUUAAAUUUAAUUUCAAAUUAGUUAUUUCUGGUUACUUCCUCGAAAUAAGAAAGAGCAUUUUUUCCUAUUUAUUUGACCCUCUUGUAAGCCACUUCUUCAGCUUGAAGUCAGAAGUCAUUGGGCGGAAGUGGAGAAACAACACUUGCUAAAAGAAAUUCCUUUUAGCAACUCAAUAUUAGGCUUUGGAGUUUUUUUAGCCAGAGUUGUUUUCCCUCUUCUCAACUCUGUAGAUCUGCAGAACUUUAUUUCUCUAUUUAUGCCUUUUUCACUUUUUUUGUUGAGUAAAAGUUAUUUUUUCGGGAUCUGUUCAGAUAUUUUCCUUAUUCCGUUUGGGGAUCACUGAGAAGUUCAUUUCAUCUAAUAUAGGUUGAUUCCUACGGCGAAAUUGAAUUAGUGUUUCCAAUUUCUCGUCUCCUCAAUUUUUUUUUGUUUCAGUUUAGGUUGCUUGAGCUUGCUAACUGUAUUCUUCAUUUUUUUUUGUGAGCGCGUACUGGUCAGGAUGAUGAAGAAGACUAUAAACAACCAAGCCAUGGAACUGAGCUACCUGCUUGAAAAAAUUGAUACAUGUCCAGGUUCAAAAGGAAAAUUCUGCCCCUGUUGCGGUCAAGGAAAAUUAUUGGGCGUGAAAGAUAAGAUGUGUAUUACACUAUUACAAACUUGUUACUAUGUCAGGCUUAAUAUAAGCUCCUUGUAAUAUCUGAUGUAUUUUCUCCAAGACUGAUUGUUCUUCCUCUAGAAAACUACAUCAAAUUAAACAUAUGAUACAAAACGUUUACGAAGACGACUUACAAGUGAUGGGCUCAGUAACAAUGGAGGAGUGAUGAUGGGAAUGAUAACGAGAGUAGAGAAAAUGGUGAUGCAGAGCUCUGUGAAGCCAAUAAUAGAGAAACUCGACAGGACCGAUAUGCAUCAAGGCAGUUAUUAUGAUCCCAUCAGUCCUCCACAAAGGCAAGUGAUGAGUCUGUUGGAACUUCAGUGAGCGAAACGGAACAGAAACGUGACCGUAAUGUAUCGGAGUCAAAGCGAGGAGUCCCUCGUAUCGGGGCUCGGGCAAAGCACCUGCCCUCGGGGGUAUAGGGGCAAUGUCCUCCAGGUUCGGUUCGAGAAUCAAAAUUUCGGAGAGCAUUAUCAAACAACUGCACACAACUAACAAAGGGCCGUGAUGUCCGUGUCCGACCAUAUAUCACGGCGUGAAUCUCGACCCGUAUUGAUAAAAAAUCAGUGAUUACCGAAACAAAAGAUUUUUACCUUUCUUAGAAUUGUACUUAGGGUAAAAUUCCCAUACUAUAUAAAGGGGGAGUUUAUUA